UACGUAGGCAGCAAGCGUUGCUCGGAAUCACUGGGCGUAAAGGGUGCGUAGGCGGCCGUGCAAGUCUGGCGUGAAAGCCCCGGGCUCAGCCCGGGAAGUGCGCUCGAAACUGCGCGGCUCGAGUGCCGGAGGGGAGAGUGGAAUUCCUGGUGUAGCGGUGAAAUGCGUAGAUAUCAGGAGGAACACCGGUGGCGAAGGCGGGUCUCUGGGCCGAUACUGACGCUGAGGAGCGAAAGCGUGGGGAGCGAACAGG
rnacentral:rRNA from 1 species